AGCCCCGUGGUGUAGUGGCCAAGCACAGCGGGCUCUGGACCCGCUGACGCCGGAGCUUGAAGCGGCGAAUUCGAAUCCGGCCGGGGCUA
rnacentral:tRNA from 1 species